UACGUAGGUGGCAAGCGUUGUCCGGAAUUAUUGGGCGUAAAGCGCGCGCAGGCGGUCCUUUAAGUCUGCUGUGAAAGCCCACGGCUCAACCGUGGAGGGUCAUUGGAAACUGGAGGACUUGAGUACAGAAGAGGAAAGCGGAAUUCCACGUGUAGCGGUGAAAUGCGUAGAGAUGUGGAGGAACACCAGUGGCGAAGGCGGCUUGCUGGUCUGUAACUGACGCUGAGGCGCGAAAGCGUGGGGAGCAAACAGG
rnacentral:rRNA from 1 species